GAAAAGCCCAAGAAGGCUGGCGAGAAGAGGAAGAUGGGGUGUGAAGAGCAGGCAGUGGUGCAGGGAAAGAACCUGGGUCCCUACAGCGGGACCAGACCUGCAAAGUGCCCACGGAAAGAUUUGCAGGAUAUGGGCCAGAUGAUGCACUACUCUGCCUCGAUGCCUCGGGCCUCCAGGACCAUGAACCCAAUGUCCUCCUGGGGUGGAUAAUAUAACGUUGAGGCAGACUGGCACAAACAGAAACUAAGCAGCUCGGUCACUUUUCAUCGCUGUUUAACUUUCGGUUUGGCACCAACACAUGGAUACAUCACAGUCUGCUUGAACCCCAUAUUAUCCUCCACCUUCCCAGCCUGCCUUAACCCUGUUUUAGCCCCGCCCCACCUCAGAUGCAGUAAGUGCCAAAGUGCAUGGUGUGCUCCACUGCAGUCUGCAGCCACAUACACAAGCCACCAUGCGGCAGGAAAGCUUGUGGACUGCACGUUUGUAAGCUUUGUUGCAGUGCAUAUUGUACAUUUAAAACAUUCAGAAUAAUUAUCCAAGGGACAUACAAUUAAAAUGACAAUAAGAAGUCAAAUAAAACCUGGGGAAGUUUGGUGACGCUCCCUCAGGCAAGAUUUGUGGUGCUUCUUGCAGCAGCAGUUCUGACUUCCUGCUUUUCCAGGUGGAUGAAGUUUCUGUGCUGCAGUCCCAUCAAGCCAGGGAGGCUGUGCAGGAAACUGACCAGCGGAGGAAAGCCCCAGUGCAGCCGGGUCCAGAGAGUUCUAAGCCCAGGCCUAGUUAAAUCAAAGACAAUGAGUUCCAUUAGUGCUUAUGACCAGCACGGCAGAGCAGUGUGAAGGAAGAGCACUUCCAGCACCCCAUCCUUCUGUACAAGAGAAAAUCUCAUGUGACUUCUUAAUAUAGAACUGAUUCAGUCCAAUAAAAAAACAAUAAAAAAAGAAAUUAGAAUAGUUAUUAAUUUUUGGUUGGUGUACUA